rnacentral:rRNA from 1 species
GACGAACGCUGGCGGCGUGCCUAAUACAUGCAAGUCGAGCGAACAGACGCGGAGCUUGUUGCUCUGACGUUAGGGGCGGACGGGUGAGUAACACGUGGAUACUCUCCUUAUAAUACUGGGAUAACUUCGGGAAACCGGAGCUAAUACGAGAUAAUAUUCUGAACCGCAUGGUUCAAUGGUGAAAGACGGUGUUGCUGUCAGUUAUAGAUGGAUCCGCGCGGCAUUAGCUAGUUGGUGAGGUAACGGCUUACUAAGGCAAGGAUGCGUAGCCGACGGGAGAGGGGGGUCGCCGGCACGGGAGGUGAGACACGGUCCAGACGACUACGGGAGGCAGCAGAAGGGAAGCUUACGCAACGGUCGAAAGCAUGACGGAGCAGGGCGGCGUGAGUGAUGAAGGUGUUCGGAGCGGAAUACUCUGCUAUUGGGGGAGAACAGAUGUGUACUUAACUGUGGACGGCUUGACGGUACCUGAUCAGGAAGCCCCGGCUAACUACGUG